rnacentral:rRNA from 1 species
UACGUAGGGGGCAAGCGUUGUCCGGAUUUAUUGGGCGUAAAGAGCGUGUAGGCGGCCUGACAGGUCUGCUGUGAAAACUCGAGGCUCAACCUCGAGAUGUCGGCGGAAACCGUCUGGCUAGAGUCCGGAAGAGGAGAGUGGAAUUCCUGGUGUAGCGGUGAAAUGCGCAGAUAUCAGGAAGAACACCUAUGGCGAAGGCAGCUCUCUGGGACGGUAGCUGACGCUGAGACGCGAAACGUGGGGAGCGAACAGG